ACAACAACCCUAUACAUUUUGUUAACCUACAAAGUGGGGAAAUGAAGAUAAUAGUAAUACCCGACUUAUCGGGUAGUUCUGGUGGUCAAAAAAGAAAUAAUGCAAGUAUUUAGCCCAGUGCUUAGCACUUAAUGCUUGUCCAUUAAAUGCUAGCUGUGAUCAUUAUUACUGAUGGUACUAACCUGUGUAUUAGUGUUUCUCUGGUUGCUCAUUGCAGACAUUUACCUCCUACCAGAUUUAGCAAAGAAACAUAAGAGGAAAUUAUCAGAAGCAUCUUAAGCUUGCACAAUCAAAGGAAGAGCUAAACAGCUGAGCCCCAGGGCUGUCUCUUCUCCACAAGGGUUAAAACUCAGAGGUGUGAAAGAGCUUUGUGGACUAAAGAAACUAAUGACUUGGUUUUGCAUGACCAUACAGCCAGAUCAGAGCCCUCUCAGCACACUAAGUGGAAGAAGCUCCUUGGCAUGUAUGGGAAUAAAUCUGACAACCUAUCUGGACUAAGGCAUCACUCAAGCUAUCGCUAUAGAGAAAGAAAGAUGGUCACAGAUUCAGGGCAUAGAGACAAGAAAUGAAAUAAGGAUAAAAGUGGAUGUCGCUCAUGAUGAAUCCUGGUUUCCAACCCAAUUGGCUUUUUCACAGAACAAGUGAUAAAAAGGGCAGAAUUCAAUCUUUGAAGAGCUCCCCCAUCCUGAACCCCUUUCCAGACAAAGGAGGGAAACCCCAGACCUCCAUUGCCAACUGUGGUUAUCUCCAUCCAAAUCAUCACUUCCUGAACGGUAAGUUGGAUAGUAGAGGUUUGCCUUUGUUUGUUUGGGUUCCUCAACAGUCCAUUUUCUGUCCGAAAGUCCCAGCACUCCAA
rnacentral:lncRNA from 1 species